rnacentral:tRNA from 1 species
UUCCUGGUGGCUUAGUUGGUAAAGAAUCUGCCUGCAGUGUGGAAGACCUGGAUUCAAUCUCUGGGUCAGGAAG